UAUAGGUACAAGAGGAAAACUUGUUAUACCUUUUUUACACUUAAAUAAUAUCUAUCUACAUUGCAGAGUUUUCUGCAUUUUAAGGCAUACAAUGAGUAUAUUCAACAGCUGGAAUCUAUUCAAUUCGAAAUACUUCAAUUUUCAUCAUUAGCAGGUCCUUUCAUUUCCUUGGAAGUGUUCUCUGAUCUUUCCAAACUUAUCAGGGGUGUAGGAUUCUCACACUGAGUGAACAUUUUCUUGAUGACUUCUUCUUUCUCAUCAAUGAAGUCGAAAAAGUGAAAAAUGACUUGAGAGCAGNAGAAGUUAAGGAUGGAGAAGCCAGUUGCAUUUGCCUACGUUUAUAGCGCACAAAUUGGCGGACCACUCUUAGUAAAAAUGCUAGAAGGGCUACAGCAAUGAAGACACCACACAGAAGAU
rnacentral:misc_RNA from 1 species